GGGUUCUUAGCUCAAUUGGUAGAGCGCCAGACUCUUAAUCUGCAGGUUCAGGGUUCGAGUCCCUGAGGACCCACCA
rnacentral:tRNA from 1 species